rnacentral:lncRNA from 1 species
CAGGAUUGCCAAAGUGUUGGCAUGAUGUCAACAACGACUGUUAAUUUAUCCGAAAUUUUAAUUUUGUAUUGAUUUUCCAGGUAAAGAGAUGUGGCCGGCUGGCCGCAAUGAAUAGUUCAAAUUUAAAGCAGAAACAAAUCUUUCAUGUACGUCCAGAUUGUUUACGGCUGCAACCCAGACUUGGAAUCGCCUGCGAAAAGAAGUUUAUCCAAAUUGACGAACGGCAUUUCCACGGCGACAGAAACGACAAACGCCAAAAGGAACGAGAUCACCAAAAUGCCGGCAAAAUUCAUAGCUCCAGAAAUUUCAGUAAAGUAGUAAGGCUUGCGCAGGUGAGAUAUGUAAGCAAACGUGUAAAUGAGGAAUCGGUGGACGAAACCUGUUCCGAAACAGUUAGAGCGUGGCUGGUAAAAUAUUUUAGCAGCACCACAAAGAAAAAUCCAACCUCCAUAUCCGUGAGUGCAGGCGAAUAUGAUCCAACCGAUGGUAAUCGCCCAAGCCGAGUGAUUCAAAACUCCGUAGGAAACCCGAAUAAAAGGGUCGAUGACUGGAACUGUGGCCUCAUCCAGAUAAGGAAACAUUCCCAAAUUUACGGUCUGAACCAAAAGAUUGUUGGUGGUAGAUCGUGAACAACAAAAACAAUCGUGGAGAUUCCCAACAUAACUAAAAGGCUGAACGCUGUCCAAAUGAUUCCGGCCCUCUUCCAGCGCCAAAUUGGAUAAAUGAAGAGCGGACUGAUCAAGAACAUUUGCAUGUCGCAGGCAAGAUACCAAGUCUCUAGGGAAGGCAUUUCAGGAUUUGUCCCCCAGUUUCUUACUGGUUUCACAAAGUUGUUGAUGUACAUCAAGUUGGCCCACCAGGAUUUUCUUAAAGCUUUGCUCUUCUGUACCACAAAAUUCCAGUCAGGACCAGUUCCCACGUACGGAUACAGUGUCGAAAUGAACGCCACUAAAGCUGCAUACACUGGGGAGCAACCUCCCUACUUCACCCCGCCAUUUGGGAAUCCAGGGAAGAAAUCUUUACUCCUCAUCCGCAUUUCCCACGGGCAUACAAAUCGAAACCAAAUGAGAUCGUUGUCGGCUCACCAUUCGACAUCUGAAGCCACUGCUCCAGUCGAUCUCGAAACUGAACGGUGAUAAAAGCGGUAUCUUCGUCCGUUGAUGAAACGCAUAGGGUCGCGUUUCCGAUUUCAGCGUUUCCGGCCCAGCUGAACAAGAUCGCUGUAGCUGUAGCCAACGGCAACAAGCCUUUAUCACCGACAUUAUACCAGUGGCCUAAAGCACCAGAUCUAGAAACACAAAGGUGAUGGAAUUCCAUCAUCUUUACGGUCAAUUGAGUUCGACCGUAUCACGAAGUGAAACAUCUAGCCCGAUGUCGUUCAAGAUUUCCAUCAUGGCCCCAAGAAUAACUCGCCUGAUUGGGUGUAUGACUCGUUUUUCCGCACAAACUGCCCCAAAUCCUUUAGCGAAUUCGCUUUGUAAGUUCGAACCCUCUGUGCAUGUCGCACUAAGAAGAAAGGGGCGACCAAAACCGGCAACAUAGGCAUGGACUAAAACCGGCCAGGGAAGUCGCCCGUCACAGAGGAGUGAAGAUGGCUUGGAACUUUAGAGUUAAACCUGCCGACCGGCCGGUCAGCUUGCAUGUCUUUCACGCUUGAAGGUCGCGGGGAACAUUACGUGUAAAACUGUCAAUGCGGUAGUGUAGAGGUUGGGUGAGAACUGGACGUUUUGCAUCAUUAUCAAGCAGGUGCAAUAGCCGCAAGGCUCAGCCAUUUGGUAUUCAUUUUGAUAUUGGGUUUUGUAGACCCAUCCCCAGCAACGUCAACCUAAAGAAGAAAAGGCCAAUUUGCAUAUCCUUCCCACUCGAAGGUCACAGAGAUCAUUACGGAAAACGUGUCAUGCGACGGCGGAGAGGUUGGGUGAGGACGACACGUGUUAUUAUCAAGUAGGUACAAUAGCCGCAAGGCUUAAUAUGUGGAUCAGGAUAAGAAAGAAAUCGUUUAAAAGGAGAGAGAAACGGCCACAGAAAUUAGGUCAGUGAUCACCUCCGACACGGCAACAACUGUAGUGCACUGUCUGUCACCAACUGCCUCCUUCAUCGCAUCGUACAACCAAUUCGCAAUCAUGGUAAACUAUGGCGUUGUGCUGCUGUUGGAUGUUGAAUCGUUGAUGGCUGGGUCGACAAGACAUCUGGUGUACCGAUGUCUCCUGGGUAUGGGGGAUAUCAAAGCACAACACUGCCGCUUUAUUACUCGACAUCAACCAACGCUGCUCCAUCUUAUUACACCACGGCUCCAAAGUACUACACCACCAAGGAGAGAAAAGGCGAUUAUUACACUUUAUAUUAUAACUCGACAUAGCUUAUUAUACCGCCGAAGUGGUAGACUACUACACCAAAGCCCAAGUACUACACUGCAACCUACGCUGCCCCAGGUUACACCACGAAGGCACCGGAAUACUACAACAUAACCUUCUUUGCCCCAAAGACACCCGAUCUGCACAACCACAUCUGAGGCGGCAAAGUAUUACUACACAGCGCCUUCAAUUUUAUAGUAAGGUGGCAGCGUACCAUUGUCUUAUGUUAACGGUUUUGAAGUGAGCUAGAUAUAUUUCUUAGAAUUUGUUAUGUGUUUUUUCGUUCCAAUUUCGUCGGGUUGGAGAGAGCUAAAGAUGUUUAUUGUUUAAGAUUCAAUUAAAAUUUAUUGCAUGUUGAGUUUGAGUUUUCCUGAAAAUGAUCAGCUAUUUUUCAUUAGUAGAUAAAUUUGAAGUUAGAAGAGUUGGAAAUCUUAUGUAUAGUAUUAAAUAUAGGAAAUUUUAUGAGAAGUUGUUUCAUAUAAAAGUGAUAAUUUAUGAUCACAUCACAAUGAUAAUACUACAGCAUGCAAAACCUCAAAUGUAUCAAUAUCUUGCAUUUUCCUAAAUUAUAACUCAGCAAAUGGUGUUCACCACAAUCACUUUAGUAGUAUAGCUUGCAAUUGUCCUCAACAUAAGCAUAGAAUUGGAUCUGGGAAAUAUUUUGGAGAUUUACUACGACUUGAUUGCAAAAAGUUAACCUGAAAUGUGAAAUGUGAUACUUAUUAUAUGCCACAGUAAUAAUUUUAAAUGCUGGAUAGAAUAAGUAACUUGCAAAUAGAAACUAUUUGGCUUUAAAGACAAAGCUUGAGAUAUUGGAUUCUGCACCUAAACCUAGGUCAACUUCAGCUGAAAUUUUCUGAAAACACUGAUCCAAGAAUGCAAUAAUAAUCAUUAGCAAAAUUUUGUGUUAUUUAAAACCAGUUAAAACUACCUCAAAAUCCUAAUUUGAAUUUGUUUGGGUUUUUUAAAGUAACUUUUAACUUAAGAUGAGUAUGGUGUAACUUAGGAACAGACGAAGUUUCCCAAAAGGAAUCUAUUUAGUAGGGCUUUUAGCCCAGUCAAACUGUCACAUUCCAAUGCUGCUCUCCAAUUAUCAAUGGCCAUCGAAACCUACAGAAAAAAAGAAAGAUAUAUCACAGGUAAGGUCAAGUGCAGAAUGACAGGAAUAAAGCUAAAAGGGUGAUACAGGUGAUUAUUAAUUUAAUUAGAUGCCCAGUCCCUAGAGUGAGGAUCAAAUGAGCCAGGAACAUCUGCUGUUGUUGUUGUAAGACAGUAGUGUGGAAUGGAUUUUUCAUCUUCACCAUAAUUUGUGAUUGACUGAACGUUUGGUAUUGGCUUGUAGACAUAGCCUAGUAGUGUCCACAAUGAAUAGAAACACAUUCUGAAUAACUGGCAGGGUUACCUUACCAACUGGGUGUUUUACUGUUUUCCUUUCACCAAUCCACUGCUGUCCAGCACUGUUGCCCAGCAGGCAGCAGGUGCUGAAACGUCUAGAAUCACUUGCAGACAACAUGAACGGAUAAUCGGAUAUCUUGAGUGCCUUCUCCUCAGUGUUGAAGAAGUGUUGUAAAAGUUGGACUGGCAUCCAUUAACACCUUGGGGAUUUCGUCUGUUGUGAUUUGUCAUGUGUGAUGCUGCGUGGUGGCUUCUUGGUGAAAUUUGGCAGGGAGAAUAUUACGAGAAAAUGUGAAAGGGGAAUGCAGCCUACUGUCAACUACUGUGUUUAAAUCCUGGGAUCCUACUGAAUGUGUCAUCCAAAUGACAGAGGAUUCAUCUUAAUUACGACUGAUUCUAUUAGACUUGCACCAACCCCAGCAUGGACCAAUCUCUCAUUCCAUCUUCUAGAGAACCUUGGAUAACUGAUUGGUGGUUUUGUGUGUAAGUUUAUUGUUCAUGUCACCAAACUUUCUUUGUUUCAGUCU